AUGGCAAUAAUGCCUUAGUAUUGGCUACAAAUACCAAUGCAACUAAUAGCAAAAAAACCAAAUUGUGUAGAACAAGACACACAUAAUUAGCAUAGUUAUUAUGGGGAGGGUUGAGUACUCCCCAUUGUUUGAGACAAGAAGGUGCAGAGGAAGGUUCAUCUACAGGUCCUUUAGGAGGCAUUUGGUGAUAUAAGUUUGUUUGGAUAUAUAUGAUUUUAUUAUUCUUUUCUAUCAUUUCAUCACUUGGCACUUCUUUUUUCUAGUAUUUUAGAUGCUAAUAUAACUAGUUAUGUCUUUUAUUUAUGUAGUGAAUCUUUUUUCUUGUUUUGCAAACAAGAUUUUGUGUCUGUCAACCAUCUUUGAUAUCAUGGUCUGUGCUAAUGUUAUCCUCUCUGACCCUAUUCUCACAUGCCGUAUUUCAUAUUGUUUUGGUUAUUGAGGGGGAUCAAUGGAGUACUGUUGAUGCUCAGUGGGCUCAGCUGAUUGGACUUAUAAGCUUUGCAAUUCACAGGUAAGUCACAUCACAUGAGAAUGUAGUUGGUCAGUUUUUCACGAGACAAAGUUCUCCCAAACACUUCAACAUGGCUUCUUCAGUUAUGGAAACCUGCAAAUCAGAGGAUUUGCACAUGCAGAUUUGGUGAACAUUGACACCGCUGGAAUCACUGCUCUAGAGGAACUGCAUAAAAGUUUGUCUUCACAUGGAAAACAGGGUAUUCAAAGAUUUUUGCAACGCUUGGAGUUGUAUGCAAGUGUUGUGAUGGGGUUGGAGGCGCCUGCACUAGUAAAUGGACAUAAUCUUGCAAUAACCUACAAUGUUUUCCUUGGAAAUCACACUGUACUAAGCAACAUCAAAUAUUUUAUGCUAAUUAAACAUAUAAAUAUAAAUAUACACAACAUUUCAAUGCAAUUAGCAUCUGUAGCUGUAUUUUUAGCUUUUUGUAGGUUGCUAUGAUUAGAUUUUUGAAACUGAACCCUUUUUGGAUGUUAUGGUUAAAACUGAGUUAUUAUCA